CCAAAUUUUCUGAGCAACCAAGCAACAGGAAUCAGAAAAGUAUCACCAUAUUCAAGAAGAUAAGAAGAGGCAAUAAUAAAUCUCACCAGCAUCAAUAACAGCAUCCCAGUUGGUCUUCCCAUCAGUCUCAAACUGCUUCAAAUCCCAGGUCCCUCCAACCCAUUUGAGGUCCUCAAAUUUAGUCACCAGUACCACAUCCCCAGCAGCAGCAGCCCCAUUAGGCUGUGAAUCCAAAACAGCAGCCUCUGGGGCCUUCUCCUCUGCCUUUUCAGGCUCCACAGUG
rnacentral:lncRNA from 1 species